rnacentral:rRNA from 1 species
GAUGAACGCUGGCGGCGUGCCUAAUACAUGCAAGUCGAGCGAACGGACGAGAAGCUUGCUUCUCUGAUGUUAGCGGCGGACGGGUGAGUAACACGUGGAUAACCUACCUAUAAGACUGGGAUAACUUCGGGAAACCGGAGCUAAUACCGGAUAAUAUUUUGAACCGCAUGGUUCAAAAGUGAAAGACGGUCUUGCUGUCACUUAUAGAUGGAUCCGCGCUGCAUUAGCUAGUUGGUAAGGUAACGGCUUACCAAGGCAACGAUGCAUAGCCGACCUGAGAGGGUGAUCGGCCACACUAGAACUGAGACACGGUCCAGACUCCUACGGGAGGCAGCAGUAGGGAAUCUUCCGCAAUGGGCGAAAGCCUGACGGAGCAACGCCGCGUGAGUGAUGAAGGUCUUCGGAUCGUAAAACUCUGUUAUUAGGGAAGAACAUAUGUGUAAGUAACUGUGCACAUCUUGACGGUACCUAAUCAGAAAGCCACGGCUAACUACGUG